AACGAACGCUGGCGGCAGGCUUAACACAUGCAAGUCGAACGCAUCCUUCGGGGGGAGUGGCAGACGGGUGAGUAACGCGUGGGAACGUGCCCUUCAGUUCGGGAUAACCCAGGGAAACUUGGGCUAAUACCGGAUACGUGCGAGAGCAGAAAGAUUUAUCGCUGAAGGAUCGGCCCGCGUCUAAUUAGCUAGUUGGUGCGGUAAUGGCCCACCAAGGCCACGAUCAGUAGCUGGUCUGAGAGGAUGAUCAGCCACAGUGGGACUGGGACACGGCCGACACUCCUAUGGGAGGCAGCAGUGGGGAAUAUUGGGCGAUGGGCGCAAGCCUGAUCCACCCAUGCCGGGUGAGAGAUGAACGCCUUAGGGUUGUAGAGCUCUUUCGUCCGGGGCGAUAAUGACGGUACCGGAAGAAGAAGCCCCGGCUAACUGCGUGCCAGCCGCCGCCGUAA
rnacentral:rRNA from 1 species